rnacentral:rRNA from 1 species
CAGCAGCCGCGGUAAUACACAGGGUGCGAGCGUUAAUCGGAUUUACUGGGCGUAAAGCGUGCGUAGGCGGCUUCUUAAGUCGGAUGUGAAAUCCCUGAGCUUAACUUAGGAAUUGCAUUCGAUACUGGGAAGCUAGAGUAUGGGAGAGGAUGGUAGAAUUUCAGGUGUAGCGGUGAAAUGCGUAGAGAUCUGGAGGAAUACCGAUGGCGAAGGCAGCCAUCUGGCCUAAUACUGACGCUGAGGUACGAAAGCAUGGGGAGCAAACAGGAUUAGAGACCCCUGUAGUCCCUGUCUAUUAUAA